rnacentral:rRNA from 1 species
AUUGAACGCUGGCGGCAGGCCUAACACAUGCAAGUCGAACGGUAACAGGAAGCAGCUUGCUGCUUUGCUGACGAGUGGCGGACGGGUGAGUAUGUUCGGGAAAACGCCUGAUGGAGGGGGAUAACCACCGGAAAAGGUAGCCAAUACCGCAUAACGUUGCAAGACCAAAGAGGGGGACCUUUGGGGCCUCUUCCAUUCGGUGUGCCCAGAUGGGAUUAGCUAGUAGGUGGGGUAACGGCUCACCUAGGCGACGAUCCCUAGCUGGUCUGAGAGGAUGACCAGCCACACUGGAACUGAGACACGGUCCAGACUCCUACGGGAGGCAGCAGUGGGGAAUAUUGCACAAUGGGCGCAAGCCUGAUGCAGCCAUGCCGCGUGUAUGAAGAAGGCCUUCGGGUUGUAAAGUACUUUCAGCGGGGAGGAAGGGAGUAAAGUUAAUACCUUUGCUCAUUGACGUUACCCGCAGAAGAAGCACCGGCUAACUCCGUG